CUCCUGUUGAAAUAUCGGCGGUGGUCGACGACGUCACCCGGCAGCAAACCCGUACUGUCAGCCUUUUUUGAGAACUGAUGACUUACCACUCAGUUGAAAUGGAUGACUCAUUUACACUAAUAAAAAUUAUAUACUUAAAUGAAUAAAACUGUUUGGGAUCCAAGAAUAAGAACUGCAGAGAAGAAACCAAAGGUAUCAACACGACUGCUCUGUUGUUGAGAAUUUGCUGAUUGCUCAGAUUGAUACACUGCGCCCGUUCCCGUUACAUUUCAACAGGUGGGAUAUACUUAUUGAUGAAUGCUAUUCGAAGAGGAUAAUAAUGGAUUUCACGAGAAUUUUGAAGACUAAGUGGACACAGAUGGUGAAGACGUAGUUGAAGUCCAGCCAGAAGACUCAGAAACAGAGUAAGAUGACAUUGAAGAUGACGAGGAAGUACUUGAUGAAAAGGGCCAUUACUAUAUUGGACAAAAUGGAAUAAAGUUCCACCAUCGCAGAGAGUACGAUUCAGGGCUCUCAAUGUUAUUCGGAAGUUAUCUGGACUUGUAGGUGUGGCAAAAGCAGAAAGAACAUCUUUGGAAGGCCGAAAUUGCCUCAUAGAUGACGAAAUUUUGUCUAUUAUAGUGUUGUGUACAAAUCAGUAUAUUGAGAGCGUCAAAGCUACAUUCCAGAGUGAGAGAGACGUAAAACAAAUAGACAUUAUUGAAUUGGAAGCCUUCAUCUGUCUCUUAUUUUUAGCUGGAGUAAACAAAAGUAACAGACAAAGCUUAGAGGAUCUGUGGGGAACUCAUGGGGAUGGCA